GAGACUUAGGUUAAUUUAGACCAACAGCCUUCAAAGCCGUCAGUGGGAGUUAAAAUCUCCUAGUCCCUG
rnacentral:tRNA from 1 species